UGUAGAACCACCUGCAACUGGACACUAACAUUUAUAAGAUUUGUUUUCCAGAAUCGAUAACGAAGAGAGUAUCACCAAUACCAGCACUUACAGUUGACUGACGAACUGAUUACAAACUCAAAGACACCGGCAAUAGUGCUGAGGAAAGCGGAUGCCCCACACUCCUAUGUGGUUGACCCAGGCUCAGCUGAGGUACGGAAGAACAAAACACACGUCAGAGCUCUACCAGAUCUACCAGCCACACAGGCUGAGGCCACAGACAAUGCACAAAAAGGGGGGGAAGGAGAGAGAAUGCUCACAGAGCCACAAGCUCGCUCAAAAAAGGGAUGUGAAGCCACCAGAGUGGCUGAAAGACGAUAUUAUGUGAAUAGAAUACAUACUGUUGGGGACUGAAAAACAUCCCCACAGCAUGAUGUUGGCAUCACCUUGCUUCACUGUAGGGAUGGUGCCAGGUUUCCUUCAGACGUGACGUUUGGCAUUCAAUCUUGGUUUCAUCAGACCAGAGAAUCUUGUUUCUCAUGGUCUGAGAGUCCUUUAGGUACUUUUUGGCAAACUCCAAGCGGGCUGUCAUGUACCUUUUACUGAAGAGUGGCUUCUGUCUGGCCACUCUAUCAUAAAUGCCUGAUUGGUGUAGUGCUGCAGCGAUGGUUGUCCUUCUGGAAGGUUCUCUCAUCUCCACAGAGGAACUUUGUCAGAGUGACCAUCGGCUUCUUGGUCACCUCCCUGACCAAGGCCCUCCCCCAAUUUUUCUUAGUUUGACCGGGCGGCCAGCUCUAGGAAGAGUCUUUGUGGUUCCAAACUUCUUACAUUUAAAAAUUAUGAAGGCCACUGUGUUCUUGGGGACCUUCAAUGCUGCAGACAUUUGUUGGUACCCUACCACAGAUCUGUGCCUCGACACAAUCCUGUCUCUGAGCUCUACGGACAAUUCCUUCAGCCUCAUGGCUUGGUUUUUGCUCUGACAUAAACUGUCAACUGUGGGACCUUACAUAGACAGUUGUGUGCCUUUCCAAAUCAUGUCCAAUUAAUUGAAUUUAUCACAUGUGGACUCCAAGUUGUAGAAACAUCUCAAGGAUGAUCAAUGGAAACAGAAUGCACCUGAGCUCAAUUUCGAGACUCAAAGCAAAAGGUCUGAAUACGUAGGUAAAUAAGCCAUUUCAGUAGUUUUUUUUGUUUAUACAUUUGUCAACAUUUCAAAAAAACUGUUUUUGCUUUGUCAUUAUGUGGUAUUGUGUAUUAGAUUGAUGCGGGGGGAAAAAAAUAUUUGAUCCAUUUUAGAAUAAGGCUGUAAUGUAACAAAAUGUGGGAAAAGUGAAGUGGUCUGAGUACUUUCCGAAUGCACUGUAUACUUGUUAGCUGAGGGAUUGUCCUAAGACAUGCAAAACAUGUCAACAUGGUGAACUAUUGCCCAGUUCCUGUGCUAUAUUUGGAUGUGUGUAAUAAUCACUUUCCUUUCAACACAGAGGGAUUGGCCUAGUCCCAGAAAUGUCAGUCAGAGGAUUGUAAUGUGGGAGGCAACCAGUUUGCCUAGAAAGACAAGGAUUGGCUUGAAACCAGAUUCUAAACACUCUCACUGACGUGAACCAUGGACUCAAAUGCAAACACUAAGAUUAACCUGAAAUACGUACAAUAUUAUGACUGUGUGAUUGAACCACUGCAUGACAAAGGUCCUUAAUAAGCAAGAUGAAGACGAAGAGCCUAACAGGUUGGGGAAAGUAUGUGUGGCACCCAGCAUCACUCUUACCUAGCUAAUCAGCUUAUGUGAUUGGCUGGAAAUUUCAGAGGAGGGAGGGAGCGUUUACCCUGUGUGUUACGGCAGAGGUGGUAGGCAGCUUAUACUGGAGCAGCACUGUCAACACCAGAGAAGACUGAAUGAUGAGCACUCACAUUCGCUCGGUUCGUAGGGAGGAUGAGAGCGACGCACUGAGAUGAGGAUGAGGAACAGGAACAGGGGAUCUGGAGUAAGGGAAAGGGAAGACAUCAUCAUACACACAAGGGCUAGUGGCUAGUAUAGCCCAAUGGCCAUAAAGGCUUCAUUCAUUCGACUACAGCAUGGAUAUCAAUUUCAUUCAUGAUAAAAGGGGACAUGUUCAGUAGAAACGUUAGAAUCAGAAACAGAAUACAUUAUAGAAUUUGUAUAAAGAGAAAUGUUGGUUCUUUAUAUCCAAGUUGUCUGUUAAUGUGAUGUAGGGCCAACUACUGCUACACCACAAAACCUGUUUUGUUCAAUUCCCAACUUGUUCCUUCUGCGGUAGAUGUUCUUCCAGAGUAGGAGCAAUAUCAGAGUCCCAAUCCCCAUGUUGCGCUGCAAGGUGCUACCAACCCAUUGUGCAACGCUAUAGGAACAAAACAUGAGGGAGAGCAGAGUUACUUAUCUGUGUUCUGACCCCCCAAGAAUUACACAACAGCAGUGCUAGCACCUCCACUUGGAAAUGUCAAACAGGCAGAAAAAUAGGGAUAUUUGUUAUUUCAACUGAUAUCGUAUUUCCACUUAAUGCCAAAGUACAUGGAUAAUUCAGGUGCAGGCAGGAGCACACUGUCCUAUAAAUCCUACUUCCCUACAGGCAGCAGACGACACCGGUAGAUCACACCAGCUUAAUCCAGAAAAUAAACAGGCUUUUUUAAUACACCUGUGAUGGAACAUUUUAACUUGUGAAGAGACUGACUUGAAAAUGUUCAUCUUGUCUUAGUGUCAUAAAUAAUCCUUGGUUCCUGCCUGUGCUUGGUAAAGAUAUGAGGGGGUGGCGACAUUACCUCCUCCUUAGGACCACCUGGCAGAACACCCAGAAUAUGUUCUAUAAGUUAAGAUAGGAGACUAUGCCAGAGACUUGCUGGAACCAACCCUAUGAACUACGCCAAUGUUAUGUUUACAUACCCUACAGUACUCAUCUCAUAGGUAUAUACCGUACUCUAUACCAUGUACUGCACCAUUGCCUAUGCCGUUCUGUACCAUCACUCAUUCAUAUAUCUCUAUGUACAUAUUCUUUAUCCCUUUACACUUGCGUGUAUAAGGUAGUAGUUGCGGAAUUGUUAGGUUAGAUUACUUGUUGUUAUUACUGCAUUGUCGGAACUAGAAGCACAAGCAUUUCGCUACACUCGCAUUAACAUCUGCUAACCAUGUGUAUGUGACUAAUAAAAAUUUGAUUUGAAUGUAACGUGUCUGUAACCUGUAUAUAAGAGAUCUGACGGGACUGCCCCGAGAGAGCUCCUGACAGGUGUGUACUAUGGUGCAUCCAGUUUCUUGGAACCUCUCCACUUAACUGUUAAUAAACAAUUAUUAAUUUAA